UUGAGACAGCUAUCUCGAGAUCCCCGUCCACCUUCAAUUAAAUGUGCACACUGUGUCAUAGCAAACGGAUUAAUGUACAGAUGGCAAUGACUUUGUAUAAUGCUAUACAAGCUUAACAGAAAUCCAUCAAAAUGCACAGCGCCAUCUGAUGACCUGAUAUGUCUGGAGGAAUCAGUUUUAAGCCAUCAAGCCUUAGAAAAAGAGGUCACUUGGAAACAUUUUAAAUGAGUGGGAAGCCAUCACAACAGAAAUUCUUCGAAGAAUCAGUCGCUAAGGAAUGUAGUCACUUCAGUGCAUUCAACUACCAUGAAUAUUCUCAACUAGCUGCAGUAAAAUUCAAUCAUACAACUCCUAUUAACCUAGGGAAGAUCCUGAAAAUACAAGGGUGUGAACCAUGACACCCUGACCCAAGGAAGAAGCCCUGAUUCCCUUGCUUAAUCCUGAAGACUUCCCAAUAUUGGACUCCGUAUAUAUACCCUGCAAGGGGAGGACUUGAAAACGUCACCUGGCCAGAAGGCUGAUUCACGAAUGGGAUUUUCCUAGAACGGACUAAGCAAGGGUGUGAUUGAAUGUAAUAGUCCCAUUGACUUUCAUAACCUUGCUCUAUCUAGGUUUGUAUCAGGUCACCUUUCCAAAUGGUAUCUGUGGAUGUGUUGGGUAGAAAAAGUUCAGUUUAUUAAGUGUACAUAGCUGCCAUUUUGGAUUGGUAAAAGGACAGCCAGUCCUCGAUCUUGGCACCCCUUCUCCUUCAGCUCUUGGCACUCUUUUUCAAGUUUGGUGCCAAAGCAGAGGGAAAGGCAGGAAAGAUAGUGAAAUCUGCCUAGCAACAGGGAACGUAUGUAAGGGUGUGUUCAAACUCUGAAGGGGGGUUCUUUCUGUGUCUCUGGAUGCUGUGAAAGCAGGUUAUCCCAGUGAGGCAUAGAAUCCCUCCCACAGCACUGGCCUUGCUGGGAGCUAGAGCUCUGAGGGAAUAAGACUUAGGUGGACCAGUAACACCUAAUAAGGUUCCUUUGGACUUACCCUCACUCACCUAUUAAACCACCACACAGUGUAGUGUCUGCAUUCAGCACACAGGACAUCGAGGUCAAGAGUAGAAGUCAGAAGACAUCCUACCAAAGAUGUACUUACCUGUCGCAGAGUUUCCUGAACUCCGAUUCCUGUUGUGAUCCUAAUCCUUCCAUGAGGUCCUGGUUCCCAUCUGUGUUCCUGUUCUCCUGGCUAGUGUCUGCAAGACAUGGUAUAGUCCUUCUCUGUCAUUUUUGUAAACCCCACUCUGUAAGGGUUUGGGCUCUGGGGUUCAUCCCCCCAUUAUACCAUUUGUGUUAACAACCGAGCAGUUAUUCUUUGUGUUAUCUUAGUUGUAGGGAGUCCUAGUUUUGUUUUUGUGUAUCUCAAUAAACACCAUUUUAUUAUUUGCAACCUUAA